AACGAACGCUGGCGGCAUGCCUAACACAUGCAAGUCGAACGAGACCUUCGGGUCUAGUGGCGCACGGGUGCGUAACGCGUUGGAACCUGCCCUUAGGUUGUGAAUAACUCCCCGAAAGGGGUGCUAAUACCGGAUAAUGUCUUCGGACCAAAGAUUUAUCGCCUUUGGAUGGGCCCGCGUUGGAUUAGCUAGUUGGUAGGGUAAAAGCCUACCAAGGCGACGAUCCAUAGCUGGUCUGAGAGGAUGAUCAGCCACACUGGGACUGAGACACGGCCCAGACUCCUACGGGAGGCAGCAGUGGGGAAUAUUGGACAAUGGGCGAAAGCCUGAUCCAGCAAUGCCGCGUGAGUGAAGAAGGACUUAGGGUUGUAAAGCUCUUUUACCCGGGAUGAUAAUGACAGUACCGGGCGAAUAAGCCCCGGCUAACUCCGUG
rnacentral:rRNA from 1 species